rnacentral:rRNA from 1 species
AUUGAACGCUGGCGGCAGGCCUAACACAUGCAAGUCGAACGGUAACAGGAAGCAGCUUGCUGCUUCGCUGACGAGUGGCGGACGGGUGAGUAAUGUCUGGGAAACUGCCUGAUGGAGGGGGAUAACUACUGGAAACGGUAGCUAAUACCGCAUAACGUCGCAAGACCAAAGAGGGGGACCUUAGGGCCUCUUGCCAUCGGAUGUGCCCAGAUGGGAUUAGCUAGUAGGUGGGGUAACGGCUCACCUAGGCGACGAUCCCUAGCUGGUCUGAGAGGAUGACCAGCCACACUGGAACUGAGACACGGUCCAGACUCCUACGGGAGGCAGCAGUGGGGAAUAUUGAACAAUGGGCGCAAGCCUGAUGCAGCCAUGCCGCGUGUAUGAAGAAGGCCUUCGGGUUGUAAAGUACUUUCAGCGGGGAGGAAGGGAGUAAAGUUAAUACCUUUGCUCAUUGACGUUACCCGCAGAAGAAGCACCGGCUAACUCCGUG